rnacentral:snoRNA from 1 species
GCAGACUCACUCUGUGCCUGACUGCAGUCUUCAGUCCAGGGGCUUUUUCAGUCUGCUAGAGUAAUGGUCCAAGAUGUUGAGAACACUUUUCUUUGUAGAAGACUGUUGCAAUUGCUGCUUGGACAUAAUUUU